GUCCUCACUUUGGAAGCACAAAUAAUAAAAUUGGAAUAAUACAGAGAAGAUUAGCAUGCCCUCUGUGCAAGGAGGACAUGCAAGUUUGUGACACAUUCCAUAUUUUU
ensembl:snRNA U6 U6 spliceosomal RNA